UACGGAGGGGGCAAGUGUUACUCAUAAUGAUUGGGCGUAAAGGGUAUGUAGGCGGUUUUUUUAGUUUGGAUAGAAAGGUUACAUAAAGUAAUAGUUAUCUAAAUACUAUAAGACUAGAGUUUAUUUGGGGAAUGUGGUAUUUUCAUUGUAAAGGUGAAAUUUAAAGAUAAUGAAAAGACCAACAGAGGUGAAGACGACGUUCCAUGAUAAGACUGACGCUGAGGUACGAAAGCGUGGGGAGCAAACAGG
rnacentral:rRNA from 1 species